rnacentral:rRNA from 1 species
AGAGUUUGAUUAUGGCUCAGGAUGAACGCUGGCGGCGUGCCUAAUACAUGCAAGUCGAACGAAACUUCUUUAUCACCGAGUGCUUGCACUCACCGAUAAAGAGUUGAGUGGCGAACGGGUGAGUAACACGUGGGCAACCUGCCCAAAAGAGGGGGAUAACACUUGGAAACAGGUGCUAAUACCGCAUAACCAUAGUUACCGCAUGGUAACUAUGUAAAAGGUGGCUAUGCUACCGCUUUUGGAUGGGCCCGCGGCGCAUUAGCUAGUUGGUGGGGUAAAGGCUUACCAAGGCAAUGAUGCGUAGCCGAACUGAGAGGUUGAUCGGCCACAUUGGGACUGAGACACGGCCCAAACUCCUACGGGAGGCAGCAGUAGGGAAUCUUCCACAAUGGGCGAAAGCCUGAUGGAGCAACGCCGCGUGGGUGAAGAAGGUCUUCGGAUCGUAAAACCCUGUUGUUAGAGAAGAAAGUGCGUGAGAGUAACUGUUCACGUUUCGACGGUAUCUAACCAGAAAGCCACGGCUAACUACGUGCCACCAGCCGCGGU